rnacentral:lncRNA from 1 species
AUGCUCCCUCGCUCUCACGCUCUCCGCUGCGGUGGCGGUAGCGCCCGGAGCUCAGCUCGCUGUCUCGCUCGCUCUGUGCGGGGCUCUCGCCUCACUCCAGAGAGGGGCGGGAGGAAAGCGGCGCGGCCCGAUGACGCAAGUCACCUAGCAACAGCUCCCCCCGCCCCCUCCCUUUUCUUUCCGCCGGGACGUUUCCUCCGCUGGCCUUUUUUUUUUUUUUUUUUUUUUUUUUUCCCCUUUCUAAUCACCCCGCCCUGGCUGGCUCCAGCGCGCUCUGAUGACGCUGCAAGGGAAGAGGAAGUCUGGGCUCCGCGAGCGGGUGGGUGCGCCUCGGGCCGCGGGACUAGCAGCCGCUGCCGCCGCCUCUACGGCCGCGUCAGAAUUGAAGAGAGGAAGGGGAGGAGCCGAGUGGAGCCUAAGCUGCCGCCUGAUCUUACCCCUGACCCGACGGCGGCGGGGAGAGCUUGCUCUGUAGAGGUUUCCUUCAGGGCAGGUGGUGACGGCUCCUUUGGGAGCAAGGAGGAAGGCCCAGGCCGCACGGCCAUGCUCGGGCGCGCACCCCCCGAAGGAAUGAAGGUUCUGCAGGACGUUUGACAUUUUGCUUGACUUUGGGGCCUGUGCGGUUCGUGGGAUUUUAGUUUGUAAACUAAACUUUAUACACAGUUGGAUUAAACAGGCAUUUAAAACCACCGUGACCUUUGGGUGCUCCCAAGUUCGCCUAUGGCUUCAGCUUCCACCAGUUCAUUAAAAUUGCUCCUCCCGAAAUGAGCAGCCACCUCCACCUUCUCAAAACACUCUCCUGCCUGACUCCACAUUCUCCUGGCACCCUUCCUGCUUCAGCCACUCUUCGGUCCUCUUUGCUGACUUGCCUUCCUCAAUACCUUCUUCAUUCUUCAAAAUUUUUCCUUCUACUUUUACUUGAAGUACAGUUGGCAUAUAAUAUUACAUUAGUUUCAGGUGUACAACAGUGAUCUGAUAAUUACAUACGUUACAAAAUGCUCAUCACAGUAAGUAUAGUUACCCUCCGUCACCGUACAAAGUUAUUAUAAUAUUAUUGACUGCAUUCCCUAUACUGUACUUUUCAUCCCUGUGACUUGUUUAUCAAUGUAAAUUUUUAAAGUAAAACCUCAUUUUUAAGGGCAAUAAGAAACAUAAAGUGGGGCGCCUGGGUGGCGCAGUCGGUUAAGCGUCCGACUUCAGCCAGGUCACAAUCUCGCGGUCCGUGAGUUCAAGCCCCGCGUCGGGCUCUGGGCUGAUGGCUCAGAGCCUGGAGCCUGUUUCCGAUUCUGUGUCUCCCUCUCUCUCUCUGCCCCUCCCCCGUUCAUGCUCUGUCUCUCUCUGUCCCAAAAAUAAAUAAACGUUGAAAAAAAAAAAUUUAAAAAAA